AAGAGAGCGGUGAUUAUAAACAACAAGAUUAAAAAUCCUGAUCUGCUCAGUUUCUGGGCAUGAUAGACUCAUUAUACACCCAUAGAAUAUGAGCUCUC
rnacentral:snoRNA from 1 species